UUCCAACCCCUUGGAAGAGAGGAA
rnacentral:sRNA from 1 species